GAAGCGUGGAGCUGAUGGGACGCUAAAGAAGGGCGGCACAGCCGGGGGGCCUCCGGGAGCAGCCUGGGAGGGCGCGCGGGAGAAGGCAGGAGGGGUGGGGGCUUCAAGACCCACAGCUCUUCCUUGCACCCCCUCCUAGGCUCUGAAAGGGGCCGGCUGCCAUCCCGUCCAGUGGGGCCCUGCAAGGAGGCUGCAGGGAUGUGCAACCGGGUCCCCAGCAGUUGAGCAUCCCCCCCCCCCUUUGCCCGGGGCAUGGUUUGGCGGAAGGGAUGUGGGCUCGAGUGGCUUGCAGCUGAGAGGGACCUUCUUCGCCCGCGUCUCCAGCCUGCCCCCAAAAGCCAGUUCGGAGUCUUGCCCAUGCCUCCUCAUCCAACAGGUUAGCCUCACUCUGCAGGUCGCCCUCGCUCUGCAUCCCUGCAGGCAGCACCCUUGCCUUUUCUUACCUCCUCUUGUGAGGACGCAGCACUUUGUUCUGGAGCCAGCUUGGAGAGCCCCCUCGACGAUGCCAGUAGCCACACAUUCUGCUUUUGCCUAAUGGCAAGGCCACCUGGCUAGAAUAGAAAGGAACGGGCCCCAAAAAGAGAGAAGAGUGGACAUUUGUGACUGGCUGGUACCAUGAGUGGCGGCAGGUUUGACUUCGAUGAUGGAGGGGCGUACUGUGGGGGCUGGGAAGGGGGCAAGGCCCACGGGCACGGCAUCUGCACCGGUCCCAAGGGUCAGGGCGAAUACUCCGGCUCUUGGAACUACGGCUUUGAAGUGGUGGGCGUCUACACGUGGCCCAGUGGCAACACCUACGAAGGAUACUGGUCUCAGGGCAAGAGGCACGGCUUGGGGAUCGAGACCAAAGGACGCUGGCUUUACAAAGGCGAGUGGACCCACGGCUUUAAGGGAAGGUAUGGGAUACGGCAGAACGUCAGCAGCGGAGCCAAGUAUGAAGGCACCUGGAAUAACGGGCUUCAGGAUGGUUAUGGCACCGAGACCUAUGCUGAUGGAGGCACCUACCAAGGACAGUUCACCAAUGGUAUGCGCCACGGCUACGGUGUCCGACAGAGUGUGCCUUAUGGCAUGGCAGCUGUAGUCCGCAACCCUCUAAGGACCUCCCUUACUUCCCUACGUAGUGAGCACAGUAACGGCACCUUGCUGCAACAUGAUUCCCCCUCAGCUAACCUGGAGAACCUUCCCAUGACACCUACGAUCACGCGGGGCGGUUUUGCUCUCAGCUUGUAUGGAGAUGCAGAUGCUGGAAAGCUGAAGAAGGGAGGGCUCUUCAGAAGGAGCUCCCUUUUUGGGAAGUUGAAGAAAUCAGAGUCAAAGACUUCCUUGUCCAGCCAAAGAAGCCGGCUCAGUUUUCUGAAGAGUGAGAGCGGGGUAAGUUCUGGUAGCGAUGUUGCCUCCACAGCUAGCUUGGGAGAAGGUGCAGAGGGAGAGGAUUUCCCACCUUUUGAUGCCGAUAUUGAUGCCACCACGACGGAGUCCUAUAUGGGCGAGUGGAAGAAUGACAAACGCUCUGGGUUUGGUGUGAGUGAGAGGUCGAGUGGCCUGAAGUAUGAGGGAGAAUGGCUGGAUAAUGUACGGCAUGGAUAUGGUUGCACCACGUUGCCUGAUGGCAAGAAGGAAGAAGGGAAGUACCGAAUGAACGUCCUGAUCAAAGGCAUGAAGAAGCGGGUGAUACCUCUGAAAAGUGCCAAGAUAAGACAGAAAGUGGACCGGAGCAUAGAAGGAGCUCAGAGGGCCUCAACCAUUGCCAGGCAGAAAUCUGAGAUUGCAGCUUCUAGGACUUCCCAUGCCAAAGCGAAAUCUGAAGGUGCUGAGCAGGCAGCACUAGCAGCUAACAAUGAAUCCACAUUAGCCAGGUCGAUGGCCAGAGAACUCUCUCCAGACUUCUACCAGCCAGGCCCUGAAUACUUGAAAAGAAGGAUGCUCCAAGAACUAAUGGAGAAUGAAGAGAACAUAGAGAAUGCUGAGGAAGAGGCGCCACCCAUCAAAGAGCCACCGCCAUCUGAUCCAGAAAGUCCUCAGGUUGAUGAGCAAGAGUCCACCAAACCCAAGGACAGCCCUGCUCAUACCCCAUCUCCUCCUGGAACACCGCCUGAGGCAAAGCGUGCCAGGCAGAAUUCCCAGAAAGAGGGGUUUGUUGGCCCUGGGAGCUGGAAUGGAGAUCACAGCAAAGAUGGAGGACAUUCAGGAAAUAGGCCCAACACACCUUCAAAAGCCCUUUCGGCACAAGGGGAGAAGACAUCCGGUAACACCAGACCUACAUCCCGGAUCCCUAGCCAGCAUAGCCAUGUGAGGACAUCAGCUGACCAGAUGGAGAUCAAACCCCUUCAGAGGCUACAGCAUGGAGGUGAUGUUGCAUUAUUUCAAGGGUAUCACAGUUACGCUGUUGUGACCUCUCCAGUGACACCCCCAUUGGACAAGGAGGAAGAACCACCCUCUGACUCCAUCUCACGUGCCCAGCCAAGUUCCUCAGAGCCCAAAGCAGAUGUGAAGGAAGCGGAACAUAAAUUGGAGCCCCAAAAGAAAGCAGGUACACCUGUCAUGCAGCAAGACCCAACUCACGAAGAGAAAAAGACACUGAAAGCCGAACCUAAGCUGGAGCCCAAGCAACAUCCUCCAUCGGAAUCCAAAGCAGAAUUGAAAACACCAGCUGCAACUGAAGGCAAGCCUGAACGGAAAGCAGAGCCCAAGACCGUGGCCAAAAUUGAGCCCAAGGCCAUGGUGAAGAAAGGUCCUCCAACUGAGGCGGCAGCACCAGUGGAGGAAGAACAUGAAGAGGGACCUAACACGAUCAUCAUCUGCAUGGUCAUCUUAUUGAAUGUUGGCCUGUCCAUCUUAUUUGUGCAUUUUCUGACAUGAUGGGACGCUAAGAUAAGGACUGAUGUUUAGAUCUGCAAAGAGCAGAAGUAGAAUAUUCAUGAAAGCUUCUGCUGAUGUAAACAACAGGGAUAUAACCUCAUCUUUUCAGAAACAUCUAAAGAGGGAGGGGCUUAGCACCCUGUGGUUUCUCCAAGGCCGUGAACGGUCCCAAAUGAACAGAAUGGUCCCAGAUGAACCGUUUAGCCUCCAGCAUGGGCAACAUCUUCUGUUCAGCAAGAAGUAUGGAAUGCUGAAGCCCCUCUGUGCUCUUUGUUUUGUUGUGGACUAGAAUUGCCUUAAAGGUUCCUAACUUCGAUGGAUGACUGUGCUGCUGCUUGAAGAAACACGUGUUCACUUGUGGAAACGCAAAUAGUCUCUUCCUUGAGCUCCACCAUGAAAAUCCCACCUUCUACUGGAAGACUCAUUGUAACAGAACUCCCAAAGAGAAAUAUGCGUAAGACAUGCAACAGCCAGGAAUGAGGGCAACUGCUGUGGAUUUAAUUUCCCCAUUAAAAUCAGUAUUGCGUCAAGUCCAACGUUAGGAAAAGUCAGGCUGUUUUCCCUGCUGCUACGUAAUUCUAAGUCAUUCUGUUUAGAAGUCCAGACUCUAAAAUGGGCAAAACCAAAACACACGACUGAUUUCUAUGGAUAACAGAGCCUAUUCUAGGGUGUGUGUGAAUUCACAAUGAAGAAACGAAAACAUGUAUUCUCCUUUCACAGAUAUCAGCAUAUGGGUGCUUAAAAAUGUUCUGAAUUUCAGCCGCCUCCCUUGUUCCAUCGCUAAGUACCAGUUACAGUCAAUAGUCUUUCUUAAAAAGCUUGGAACAGGCUUGCUCGCUAGAGGCUGUGUUCUCGAAUGUGGCAUGCUGCAAGCACUAGCGCAUGAAAACCAUGUCCAUUUACAAACUAAGCAGAGCUCUGACAGGCGUGACCUGUUCCCAGAAGUUAGACCAGCAUUGUGAGCCAUAUGCUGCAGCUUCAUACAUUAUGCUUUCUUUUGUGCUUCUGGCAGUCCAAAAGCCCAAAAGAUAUGUAGUGUGUCAGGUAGUCCUAAGUGUGCUUGGAGUUUUUUCCCUUUUCGAAUCAAAAGCGUGGACUUAGGAGUUCACAAGCUUUUAAAAAGUGCCUCAUUUAAAAUGGACUGUGAAUUUUUAUGCACACUGACCCUCCUUCAUGCAACAGCAACCGGUUACAGAUGAGAAAGAGAGACUGAAAAAUGAUUGAAAACAAAGGAUGCCAGUUGAUGAUGCCAAAUGGCCCUGCAGGUUUCAGUAGGUAGACACGAAGGAUCAUGCUUCUGGAUGAGAUUAUUUCAGUUCAUGAACUGAUGAAUAUGAAAUUUGAAAGCUGGAGUGAUGGGGCUUUUUGCCUUUUUCUUUUUUAUAUAUAUUUUAAUACAAUCAUAUUAUAAAUUGGAAGAGGAAGUGGAAGGACACGUUAAUUUUGCCCAGAAGCCACAUGUUCUAACUGUCCUCAGAAAAAAUAUGCAAGCAUGUCUUAGGAAUAUCCAUAAAAAUGAGAGGAUACCGAUCAGAAUUCAGUCACUCUUGGAUUUUAUUAAUAUUAUUGCUUCUCCUAAAAUAUAUGUGUAAUAACUCGGCUCCAUUGUUUUGGAAAGCUGACAGCCUGUUUCCUGGCUCUCCACCCACUAGGUGUGCAGUUUUAGAAAGUCAGUACAUGGCCUCUUUUUACAAUUCCCAGUCCUUGAGCCCUUCAGACAUGAGCUUGCCAAUUCACCAUUAGGAACUUGAUUCCCCGGCAUGCAGAACUGGAUUCAGACCAAAACCAGAGUGCAAGAGGAGAAGGGGCUCAUGUUUCCCCACCCCAUAUCUUUUGCCUGAGCUCAAGCAGCCUCAGAGUAGCACUGUUUGCUCUACUGGGGACAUUACCUCUUACCCCAAUGCAGCACCUGGGGUUACCCCAAUAACCCUGGGUUUAUUUCACUUUAGAAAAACAGUUCAACUCCCUUCUCGCCACACACUGCAGUCCUGAUCUAAUUUGGACCUUACAUGCCUGAGGAAUUGAGUUCCCAGCAUGGAACUUGCAAGCUCAUAUCUAAUCUCAAGGACUUGGGUAGGGUGGGGUUAGGGAAUGUGACAUGUAGUUAGUCCCUAUCUUUGAGAGACUUUUGUGGCAUUUAUUUAUCAUGAAGCAUCUGAUAGUUUUCAAAAAACGCCAAGACUGUUCACAUACACACACCCCUCCCAUCCUGUUUCUCAUAAAUAUAAUGUGCUUGAAUUAUUAUGUUUUACUCCUUGCAAUGUGAUGACAGAAGUAGGUAGAUUUUUUUAAAAAAUGUAGACUUUAUUACUAUAUCAACCAGGAUACAGAGGGCUCGUCCAAAUAAUUGUGGAAUUUUUGACUUUUGUUUUCUUUGAAUAUUUGAUCCUGUGCUAAAUUUGAUCCUAUGCCUCAUAAACUGUGUUUGAUGCUCUUGACUCUCAGACUCAGUUUGUGGGACCUGCUGUUCAUGACAGGCAAGUUCAAAAUCCCCUAUUCAGUAUGCAGAACAGGUCAGAUGGUCCUUAGGAUCCUGGACGUAUAUGUUCUGUGUGUGUUUAUAUAGAUAUAUGUGUAUGUAGCUCUUUCUUACAAGACAAAGAGAGAGAGAUCUUUAUGGCUUGUGCACACAAUAUUAUCCCUUGGUCACUACAGCAAGUGGUACCCGCUGUGUUUACAUGUAGGUGGCUGCAAGUUCGCCAUCAAGAAAUGACACUAAGUUAUUCAGCAGAGCAGGAGUGAAUCUAAAAGGACCUGUGGCUCCAAAGCAUUCUGUGUACCCUGCCAUUUUCUUUCCACAACCUCAAAGACCUCUGCUUUCAGUGUGUGUUUGUUUUUAAGGAAGUUUAUGGCCCCGAUGGGUUGGAUCCAGACUAAUGUUUCCACGGGGGCAAGAAUUUCCACUCAGGGAGCCUGCUUUUCCUGCCUUCCCCUUCUAUGGUAACCUGAAAUGUCCCCUAAAUUUUGUUUAUGGAGUGUACCUUGUGUUCCAAAAACAGGAUUGGCAGGAGGGCGUUUUGGGCCACCUUGGGGGGGAGAGGUAGGAAAAUUGUGCUCCCUCAGUGGAAAUCGUUGCGCUCUCCAUGAAGUCUAGUCUGAAUCCAAGCCCAUAAUUCCAAACAUAAAUUUAGCACACUAACAAAAAUAGUGUGCAACCAAACUGCAAAUUCAGAGCCAUGUGUGUACACUGUUGCAUGCAGGGAUUUUCUGAACGUAAGAACUUUUCCAUUCAUUUCCACGACGGAGGUGCCUUCAUACGUGUAAAGGGGUGCGUGCAUGAGCUGCCAUCUCUUUUAAAGUGAACUGGAAAGUUCUUGCAGCAGAUGGGAGGAGGAGAGCUGGGUGCACCUAAUAGGGCUUAUGUCUACAAGGAGAUGCUGGAUCAAUGCAAAUGUGUGUACUAGUUCGGGAGGUUUUUUUAAAAAAAAAUCCCAGGGUGAGCAGAAACAGGUUUACCUCAAGUUUGCAUGCCUUCCAAAAUAGCAUUUUGUUGUUAAUUUUUUCCAGGUCUUACAGAAAUACGAGCGCAUUUAUCUCCACUACCAACAUACCUGAAUCACAAGUGUUCAAAACAAAGGGGGGAGGGGGGGGGAAGCGUACGACAAUUUGUGUAAUAUUGUCCAGGAGCUUCCAUCAGUUGUUCUGCUGGAUUAUGUGCAAUAAUAAAAUGUUAUUUUGCUCACA